UACAGAGGGUGCGAGCGUUGUUCGGAAUUACUGGGCGUAAAGCGUGCGUAGACGGCUAUCUAAGUCGGGUGUGAAAGCCCCGGGCUCAACCUGGGAAUUGCAUUCGAGACUGAAUAGCUAGGGUACGGUAGAGGGAAGUGGAAUUUCCGGUGUAGCGGUGAAAUGCGUAGAUAUUCGGAAGAACACCAGUGGCGAAGGCGACUCGCUGGACAAGUAUUGACGCUGAGGUGCGAAAGCGUGGGGAGCAAACAGG
rnacentral:rRNA from 1 species